rnacentral:rRNA from 1 species
AUUGAACGCUGGCGGCAGGCCUAACACAUGCAAGUCGAACGGUAACAGGAAACAGCUUGCUGUUUCGCUGACGAGUGGCGGGCGGGUGAGUAAUGUCUGCGAAACUGCCUGAUGGAGGGGGAUAACUAAUGGAAACGGUAGCUAAUACCGCAUAACGUCGCAAGACCAAAGGGGGGGACCUUCGGGCCUCUUGCCAUCGGAUGAGCCCAGAUGGGAUUAGUUAGUAGGGGGGGUAACGGCUCACCUAGGCGACGAUCCCUAGCUGGUCUGAGAGGAUGACCAGCCACACGGGAACUGAGACACGGUCCAGACUCCUACGGGAGGCAGCAGUCGGGAAUAUUGCGCAAUGGGCGCAAGCCUGAUGCAGCCAUGCCGCGUGUAUGAAGAAGGCCUUCGGGUUGUAAAGUACUUUCAGCGGGGAGGAAGGGAGUAAAGUUAAUACCUUGACUCAUUGACGUUACCCGCAGAAGAAGCACCGGCUAACUCCGUG